CCUACGGGGGGCAGCAGUAAGGAAUAUUGGACAAUGCCCGCAAGGGUGAUCCAGCCAUGCCGCGUGCAGGAAGACGGCCCUAUGGGUUGUAAACUGCUUUUAUACAAGAGAAAACCUCCCUACGUGUAGGGAGCUGAUAGUAUUGUAGGAAUAAGCAUCGGCUAACUUCGUGCCAGCAGCCGCGGUAAGACGAAGGAUGCAAGCGUUAUCCGGAUUCAUUGGGUUUAAAGGGAGCGUAGGCGGUCUUAUAAGUCAGUGGUGAAAGCUCCUCGCUUAACGAGGAAAUUGCCAUUGAUACUGUAGGACUUGAGUACAGUUGCUGUGGGCGGAAUAUGACAUGUAGUGGUGAAAUACAUAGAGAUGUCAUAGAACACCGAUUGCGAAGGCAGCUCACAAAACUGUAACUGACGCUGAGGCUCGAAAGUGCGGGGAUCAAACAGGAUUAGAUACCCCAGUAGUC
rnacentral:rRNA from 1 species